rnacentral:tRNA from 1 species
GGUCUCAUGGUGUAACGGUUAGCGCUCUGGACUCUGAUUCCAGCGAUCCGAGUUCGAAUCUCGGUGAGACCU